GCUGCGAUGGCCGAGUGGUUAAGGCGUUGGACUCGAAAUCCAAAGGGAUGUUCCUGCGCAGGUUCGAAACCUGUUCGCAGCG
rfam:Ciona savignyi cont_10663, whole genome shotgun sequence.